rnacentral:misc_RNA from 1 species
UCAAACUUGGUCAUUUAGAGGAAGUAAAAGUCGUAACAAGGUCUCCGUUGGUGAACCAGCGGAGGGAUCAUUACUGAGACGAGCGAAAGCUCUAUUCUCUCAUACCAUUGUCUACCUUACCGGUUGCUUCGGCGGUUCUUGGAAACGAGGCCGCCGGAGGGACCAGUUGCUUCGGCGCGUUGGGGCUCACGCCCCGGCCGCCGGCCAAAACUAUUCUGUAUUAUUGAAAUCUGAGACUACUAUAAUAAGUCAAAACUUUCAACAACGGAUCUCUUGGUUCUGGCAUCGAUGAAGAACGCAGC